GACGAACGCUGGCGGCGUGCUUAACACAUGCAAGUCGAACGGAAAGGCCCUGCUUGCAGGGUGCUCGAGUGGCGAACGGGUGAGUAACACGUGGGUGAUCUGCCCCUUACUUUGGGAUAAGCCUGGGAAACUGGGUCUAAUACUGGAUAGGACCAUGCUGUAGGUGGUGUGGUGGAAAGAUUAGUUUCGGUAAGGGAUGAGCUCGCGGCCUAUCAGCUUGUUGGUGGGGUAAUGGCCUACCAAGGCGUCGACGGGUAGCCGGCCUGAGAGGGUGGACGGCCACAUUGGGACUGAGAUACGGCCCAGACUCCUACUGGAGGCAGCAGUGGGGAAUAUUGCACAAUGGGCGCAAGCCUGAUGCAGCGACGCCGCGUGGGGGAUGACGGCCUUCGGGUUGUAAACUCCUUUCAGCCAUGACGAAGCCCUUGUGGUGACGGUAGUGGUAGAAGAAGCACCGGCUAACUACGUG
rnacentral:rRNA from 1 species